UACCAAUCAACGGACCUAAAUUAGAAAAAAAAAAAAUGAAAGGUUAUGAAUCCUGAAGGGAAAAAAGAAAAGGAAUAGGUGCAAUUCCAUAAUUCAAUAAAAUAUUUUGGAUUUACAUGUAAUUAACCCCUCCUAAAGAUAAUCAAUAUUAUCUCGAUCCAAAUUGCCUAUACGAUGUUGGUAAAUAGGUAAUUUACUGAAGAGAAUUGUAUCCAUUUCGAUUUUGGCUUAUCGAAUUCCACAUAAACGAACAGUAUCUCGGUAGUGGUAAAUUGGUAACGAGUUUGGAUGUUUUGUUAGGUUUUCAAAUUUCCUGAAAUCGAAUGGGUAAGUAUUUUAUUUCUAAUCACCUUUGUGGACGGAAGAAGUAGUAAUUUACUUACUCGUUCACGUCGAGUUUUAAACCUUAGCUCCAAAAACUCAACCUCUCAACCCCGAUGACCACCGCCACCACCUCCUCCUCCUCGCUCCUCCCACCGCCACAAUUCCUCCGCCAUGCAAGUACAACUCAACUAUGCACCAAAACCACCUUGUUCCCUCCAUUUCCCCUCUCUCCCCCCUCUCUCUUCACCAGCUACCACUUCAGUCGCUCGUGCAUAGCUUCAUCUUUGAAGGAAAAAAUCGGUGGGGUUAAGAAAACAUGGGAUGAAUUAAGCAGCUUAAAUCACUGGGUCGUUAGAGAUUAUUACAGACUUGUGAAUUCCGUGAAUGCGCUGGAACCCCACAUUCAGAAACUUUCAGAUGAGCAGUUGAGAGCAAAGACAGAGGAAUUCCGCCAGCGGUUGAAGCAGGGUGCAACUUUAGCUGAUAUUCAAGCUGAGGCUUUUGCUGUAGUUCGUGAAGCAGCGAAAAGGAAGCUUGGAAUGCGUCAUUUCGAUGUUCAGAUUAUUGGUGGAGCUGUGCUUCAUGAUGGGUCGAUUGCAGAAAUGAAAACUGGGGAAGGGAAGACCUUAGUGUCCACUUUAGCAGCUUAUCUUAAUGCUCUGAGUGGGGAGGGCGUCCAUGUGGUUACAGUAAAUGAUUACCUCGCUCAGCGUGAUGCUGAAUGGAUGGGCCGUGUGCAUCGAUUCCUAGGCCUCUCAGUUGGACUUAUUCAAAGAGACAUGAAAAAUCAGGAGCGAAGAUCUAACUAUAGAUGUGACAUUACAUACACCAAUAAUACCGAACUUGGUUUUGACUAUUUGCGAGAUAAUCUUGCUGGAAGCAGUGAACAACUUGUAAUGAGAUGGCCAAAGCCCUUUCAUUUUGGGGUAGUUGAUGAAGUUGAUUCUGUUCUUAUUGAUGAAGGACGUAAUCCUUUGUUGAUAAGCGGACAGGCAAGUAAAGAUGCGGUACGAUUUCCAGUUGCUGCUAGAAUAGCUGAGUUGCUUAUACGAGGUCUGCAUUACACUGUUGAACUUAAGGAUAACUCAGUGGAACUUACGGAGGAAGGAAUAGUACUGGCUGAGACAGCUCUAGAUACAAAUGACUUAUGGGAUGAGAAUGAUCCUUGGGCUAGGUUUGUUAUGAAUGCAUUAAGAGCCAAAGAAUUCUACCGGCGAGAUGUUCAAUACAUCAUUCGAAAUGGAAAGGCUCUUAUAAUCAAUGAGUUGACUGGUAGAGUGGAAGAGAAAAGGCGGUGGUCUGACGGCAUCCAUCAGGCAGUGGAGGCCAAAGAAGGACUGAAGAUCCAGGCUGAUUCUGUUGUUGUGGCCCAAAUCACUUACCAAUCAUUAUUCAAGCUAUACCCCAAGCUCUCAGGGAUGACUGGGACUGCAAAAACUGAGGAGAAGGAAUUCUUGAAAAUUUUCCAAAUGCCAGUUAUUGAGGUUCCUACAAAUAUGCUAAGUAUUCGAGAAGAUCUACCCAUCAUGGCCUUUGCAACUGCUCAAGGGAAAUGGAAUUAUGUUCGUGCCGAAAUUGAGUAUAUGUUUGGGCUAGGCCGGCCAGUUUUGGUUGGGACAACCAGUGUCGAAAAUUCUGAGCAUCUUUCUGCUUUACUGAGGGAAAUAAAAAUCCCCCAUAACAUCCUUAAUGCUCGCCCGAAGUAUGCUGCCAGAGAAGCUGAGAUUGUCGCCCAGGCUGGUCGUAAAUAUGCAAUCACUUUAUCGACAAAUAUGGCUGGCAGGGGCACUGAUAUUAUCCUAGGAGGAAAUCCUAAGAUGCUCGCAAAAGAAAUUUUGGAGGACAAUUUACUUUCAACUCUCGCACACAAUGUUCCUGAUGUUGAAAUUGACUCGGGGCUAACUUCAGGACAGGUCUUAUCUAAGGUCAAGGUUGGACCAUCAUCUUCAGGCUUGCUAUCUAAGGCUGCUCUUAUGUCUAAAUAUGUUUGCAAAAGUGAGGGUGAGAAGUUGACUUAUGAUGAGGCAAGAAAAAUAAUUUCUGAGUCCAUCGAGAUGAGCCAGUCUGUGGGAUCGACGGAGUUGCAGAAGCUUGUCGAUGAGGAGACAGAGAUGUACCCUCUUGGCCCAUGUAUAGCACUUGCUUAUCUAUCAGUUCUAAAGGACUGUGAAUCUCACUGUUUAAAUGAAGGGUUAGAGGUGAAAAGUCUUGGAGGUCUUCAUGUGAUUGGAACUUCUCUACAUGAGUCUAGAAGGAUUGAUAACCAGCUCCGAGGCAGAGCAGGGAGACAAGGGGAUCCUGGAUCAACACGGUUCGUAGUGAGCUUACAGGACGAGAUGUUUCAGAAGUUCAAUUUCGACACUGAGUGGGCGGUGAAGCUUAUAUCUAGACUCACAGAUGAUGAGGAUGUCCCGAUAGUUGGUCAUGCAAUCAUGAAACAGCUUACAAAUCUGCAAGUCAGUGCUGAAAAGUACUUCUUUAGUAUAAGGAAGAACCUCAUCGAAUUUGACGAAGUUUUAGAGGUGCAAAGAAAGCAUGUCUACGAUCUUCGCCAAUUGAUAUUAUCAGGCGAUUCCGACAGUUGCUCACAGCAUAUUUUUCAGUACAUGCAAGGAGUGGCAUCUGAAAUUAUUUUCAAGAACGUGGAUCCAACUAAGCAUCCAAGCAGCUGGAAGUUAAGAAAUAUAUUAAAGGAAUUUAUUGGAAUUUCUGGAGAAGUGUUAAAUGAUUCGUUUGCAGGAAUUACUGAGGAAAAUUUGCUGCAUUCACUUGCACAAGUUCGUGGGAUAAGUUCUGUGGACAUUGACGAUUUUCAUCUCCCAACAUUGCCUAAACCACCGAAUUCCUUCCGAGGCAUUCGCAUGAAGAGCUCAUCAUUUAAACGGUGUCUGACAAUAUGUUCUGACGAUUCAAUAAAAGAUGGGAAAUUCAGAUCAUCUGUUAACCUUCUCUGCAAGUACCUUGGCGACUUUCUGAUCGCUUCAUAUCUAGAUGUUAUUCAAGAGUCAGGCUAUACCAGUGGUUAUGUAAAGGAAAUUGAGAGGGCAGUUCUUGUGAAAACUCUUGAUUCCUUCUGGAAGGAUCAUCUCGUGAACAUGAACAAACUAAAUUCAGCGGUGAACUUAAGAUAUUUUGGGCAUAGAAAUCCACUGGAGGAGUACAAAAUUGAUGGCUGUCGAUUUUUCAUUUCAAUGCUUAGCGCCACAAGGAGAGUGACUGUGGAAUCUCUCUUACGGUACUGGUCUUCUCCUAUGGAGUCUGAAGAAUUAGUCUUACAGCAGAAUUAGUUCUCCUGUUAAAGUAUAAAAUUAUCUAGUUGGAUGCUGGAUAAAGUUUUGGAAUCAUGAAUGAAUGCACAAGAGGUUCAAAACACGAUGAAUUUGCUUCAUUCCCAGGGUGAUAUGUUGCCGCUCCCUCUGACAAAACAGUACGGCGAAUGCCAAUAUUUUGGGAGAGUGACUGCAAAAUAUAGUUAUGGAGAUGAUCUAUCCACGGUGGAACCCUAAAAAAUACCGGCAUCUUUAUAAGCGACAACUCGCUGGAGCUGUGAAAAUGAUUGGUCGAGUUACAGAUACGCCUGCUCAAAGCUGCAGUCAUUCAUGGUAAACAAUGCUACAACCUUUCACUCGUAUUAGUCCAUUAUCUGGUUCGUCUUUUUCGUGCAUUUAGUUGUGUGAGAAAAUGGACGGGGCUGAAGAAGGAAUGCUCUUAACUCGAGGAACCAUAUAUUAAAAAUUAUAGAAUCUUUUUUAUCAUCCUCCCAUAUAUGUUCUUCACUAAUUGUGUGACAUUCUCGCGACGCGAUCCGACCAUAUAUAUGGACUAUAUAUUGAUUCUGUGUUUGAUCUUUA